AAUCAACUCUAUCCUAUAAGAAACAAUCGAAUUAAGCAAACGAAAGUAAUCGAAUUAAGCAAACGAGUUUAUAGGAAGAAUUGAAAAGAAAUUGAAAUUAAUAAAAACCUCAAAGUGGAAUUCGAAUACAACAGAUCAACUCUUUGGGAAUUAGCUCUCCAUGAAAUAUUCUAAGCAAUAUUUUAUCAUCAAAAUUCAGAAUUAG
rnacentral:lncRNA from 1 species